AUGGUAACCGGCGCUGACUUAAUAAAAGAAGGGCAGCCAAGCGACUUUACACAUUUGUCUCAGGACUCGGAGACAUUGGCAGCAAAAACAACAAGCUUGAAACAUUUUGGUUAUUUUGCAGCAGCAAUGGAGCGCCAUUUGCCGUGGGCCAUUUGGAAGCUCUGGAGACGUUUUAAACGUUGGAGACGCCGACGGAGACAGCGGUGGCAGCCGGUGGCGGAAGUUGCUGUGCUUGGUCGUCCACCUAGACCUCCACCUAGACGUCGGCGGCCUCGCUUUGACCCACCUACUUCCCACGUUGAGGAAGUUGUCCCCCCCACCUCUGACAUUCAGGACUCAGGCUCUGUAGUGCACGGGACCAGCGAGGACGGGACCAGCGAGGACGGGACCAGCGAGGACGGGACCAGCGAGGACGGGACCAGCGAGGACGGGACCAGCGAGGACGGGACCAGCGAGGACGUACCGGAUGGGGGGGACGAGGAGGCUCCAAGCAGCAGCACGUCACUAAGGAGAGCGAUAGGUCAGUUCAGUCACAGUGGCACCAGUGGCACCAGGGACACAUGUCAUCUCCCACGGAAGCUCCUCAGUGGCAGAGCAGGAUGGACUGCAGUGCCACGUGUUAUGGAGCGGACACAUGGCUGUGUGCUGUUCUAG
ensembl:lncRNA